rnacentral:rRNA from 1 species
UAGAGAGAGACAUGCGCGCAUAUCAAUAAGCGGAGGAAAAGAAACUAACAAGGAUUCCCUUAGUAACGGCGAGUGAAGCGGGAAGAGCUCAAAUUUGAAAUCUUCAAGGUUUUACCUUGACGAAUUGUAGUUUAAAGAAGUGUUUUCUGCUGAAGUUUUGGUAAAAGUUCUUUGGAAUAGGACAUCAUAGAGGGUGAGAAUCCCGUAUUUGACCAUUAUUUUCAGCUUUGUGAUACACUUUCAAAGAGUCGGAUUGUUUGGGAAUGCAGUCCAAAAUGGGUGGUAAAUUUCAUCUAAAGCUAAAUAUUGGCGAGAGGACCGAUAGCGAACAAGUACCGUGAGGGAAAGAUGAAAAGAACUUUGAAAAGAGAGUUAAACAGUACGUGAAAUUGUCAAAAGGGAAGCGUUUGACACCAGUGUUGUUUUCUCGAAAAUCAAUUAAAAAUGGCUCGAUUUUGUAUUGCUUGAGACCUUAAAAGCUCACUGUACAUUUUUCGUGUCUUUUUUAAUGCACUUUUCGUUUAACAAGUCAACAUCAGUUUCUUUUGUUGUAAAAGGGUCAUUGGAAGGUGGCUUUCUUUUCGGAGAAAGUGUUUAUAGCCUUUGGCCUCUGCAAUCGAAGAGACUGAGGUCUGCAGCGUAGACUCUUCGGGGUUAGAUACAUUUGUGCUAAGUUAUAGCUUUUUAUAGACAACUUGUUGACUAUAAUUAGUCUUGUAGCUUACUCGCUUAUGCUAUUUUACCUACGCUUAGGAUGUUGAAGUCAUCGUAUCGCGC